CUACGGGGUGCAGCAGUGGGGAAUAUUGCACAAUGGGCGCAAGCCUGAUGCAGCCAUGCCGCGUGUAUGAAGAAGGCCUUCGGGUUGUAAAGUACUUUCAGCGGGGAGGAAGGGAGUAAAGUUAAUACCUUUGCUCAUUGACGUUACCCGCAGAAGAAGCACCGGCUAACUCCGUGCCAGCAGCCGCGGUAAUACGGAGGGUGCAAGCGUUAAUCGGAAUUACUGGGCGUAAAGCGCACGCAGGCGGUUUGUUAAGUCAGAUGUGAAAUCCCCGGGCUCAACCUGGGAACUGCAUCUGAACUGGCAAGCUUGAGUCUCGGAGGGGGGGGUAGAAUUCCAGGUGUAGCGGUGAAAUGCGUAGAGAUCUGGAGGAAUACCGGUGGCGAAGGCGGCCCCCUGGACGAAGACUGACGCUCAGGUGCGAAAGCGUGGGGAGCAAACAGGAUUAGAUACCCCCGUAGUC
rnacentral:rRNA from 1 species